rnacentral:rRNA from 1 species
GGUUGAAGGUUGGGUAACACUAACUGGAGGACCGAACCGACUAAUGUUGAAAAAUUAGCGGAUGACUUGUGGCUGGGGGUGAAAGGCCAAUCAAACCGGGAGAUAGCUGGUUCUCCCCGAAAGCUAUUUAGGUAGCGCCUCGUGAACUCAUCUCCGGGGGUAGAGCACUGUUUCGGCAAGGGGGUCAUCCCGACUUACCAACCCGAUGCAAACUGCGAAUACCGGAGAAUGUUAUCACGGGAGACACACGGCGGGUGCUAACGUCCGUCGUGAAGAGGGAAACAACCCAGACC